GAUGAACGCUGGCGGCGUGCCUAAUACAUGCAAGUCGAGCGAACGGACGAGAAGCUUGCUUCUCUGAUGUUAGCGGCGGACGGGUGAGUAACACGUGGAUAACCUACCUAUAAGACUGGGAUAACUUCGGGAAACCGUAGCUAAUACCGGAUAAUAUUUUGAACCGCAUGGUUCAAAAGUGAAAGACGGUCUUGCUGUCACUUAUAGAUGGAUCCGCGCUGCAUUACCUAGUUGGUAAGGUAACGGCUUACCAAGGCAACGAUGCGUAGCCGACCUGAGAGGGUGAUCGGCCACACUGGAACUGAGACACGGUCCAGACUCCUACGGGAGGCAGCAGUAGGGAAUCUUCCGCAAUGGGCGAAAGCCUGACGGAGCAACGCCGCGUGAGUGAUGAAGGUCUUCGGAUCGUAAAACUCUGUUAUUAGGGAAGAACAUAUGUGUAAGUAACUGUGCACAUCUUGACGGUACCUAAUCAGAAAGCCACGGCUAACUACGUG
rnacentral:rRNA from 1 species